UCAGAAAGGUCUUCGCCGUCGUUGAGAGUGGUACUGUUUUUAGAGUCUCUGGCAAAUCAAAGUGCAGUCGCAAAAAAAAAAGAUUAGUUCUAUAAAAGGCAGUGUGUGCUGAGAGUAGUAGUUCCUGAGUGUGGUCCAGAUUUUAAGUUGUUUUUUUCGUUCGUGUCGUCAUCGUCGUGCGAACACUGCAGUGCGAGAGUUCUAAAGCAGUACCAAAUGAGACAGUGAUGCACCUUUCCGACCAUCCGACCAUCGGGGCUAGCACUCAAUCGGCUUGGAUGUCGUCUGGAAACAAACCUAAUUUCGAUUUUGCUUUCAGUGAGAACUCUCGGUUAGUUCUUGGUAGGGGUUCGUACCUAGAGAAAGCGUCACCAAGUUUUGUAUCACAAUCCUUGCUGAUCAGAGAUUGAAGAAGAUGAUGGAGGAGGAGAAAUCGGGGGAAUCGACUCGGAAGGGGCGCGCUGCAGCGACCCAGACCGGCCGGACAACGUCGUCGUGUCACCAACGUGCACGCAACGCAGAAAGGUCGAUCGGGAGACUCGGUGCAAGGGUUGAAGAGAGCUAGAGAGCGAGAGCGAGAGAGAAUCUGAGCGAAAGAGAAAGAGUGAGCUAGAAAAAACCAAGGUGGGGAAGGUCUUCUGAGCUGCCGUUACUUCCGCCGCCGCCGCCGCUACCGUCGCCGUCGUUCGAGCUUCGGGUGUUUUCCGGUGCCCGGGUUGUGACAAUGCUGCUGCUGCUGCUCCGGCACUUCCUGCACGUCCAAUGAAAGAGCGGACCCCCCCUCUCCUCUCACGACUGGCGGGGACCAUCUUCCUAGGAAGCGGAAGCGAGCGCGUUGCGGUGCAGCGUCACGCCAACCACGGAUCCACAGCGAAGAAACAACUGGCACAGCAUGCGGCGACAGCACCAUGGCAACAAGUAAGACAGAGAAACGAAUACACACACAGAGAGAAAGGGAGUCACGGGUAACUAUACCGUAGUAGGCAACAGCAACCCAAAGCAGAUUGAUCUGUAGGAAUUGGUUUGUGCGUAGAUUGUACUCGCAAGAGCAUGUAUUUAGUACGCGCAAGGUGGUUUCGGCGCAAGCCGACCACCGCCAACUUAACCUGAUUUUGUACCUCUCUUUCCAUACGAGAAACGCGUUCCAACCUGUGCAACACGAUUGGAUCACGCGCGCGGAAAGUCGAACAGCUUACGUAAGCCCGCUUUUUUUCGAUUUCAAUGCAGCAUUUCGAACUUGGUUAGAGCAGAAAAGAGCAAGCGAAUGAGGUCACCUUGGAAGGGGGAGAAAAGCGAAAACGAAAACGCACAAGAAACAAGCAGGGAAGAGAGAAACGUCAAGCGUAGCGGUAAAUAGCGCUGAUUUUGUUGUUUUAGUAAUUUUUCAACCCGAGGUUUCUCGAGCCUCGAAGCAGGCCUUGAAGACGGCGCAGUAAGGAAAGGUAGAGAGAAUGCAUUGAAGAAGGGGGUUGCUGAAGAAGCUGAACCCGUCACUAGCGUCGCUGUUCGUGCUGCAUCGGACGGCGUGCUUCGGACGAAACACGGAAUAGAAAUUUACUUUCGCUUGCGAUCGAGAGAGAGCGAGCGAGUGGGAUCUUGAGAGCCCAUCGAGGUAAAGUGGUGUACAGUUAUACGAUCAACGCACGUUUGUUUUCUUGCAGAAACACUUGAAACAGAAGCGCCAACCGAACUUGCAAGUAUUGAAUUCAGCAGCUGUAGUAUGCAGAGAAUCGUAGUUUGAGCUAGAUUUGGGGGGGCUAACCCCACCCACGAAACACACGCAACUUUUCGACUAUUUGCAGCACACCCGAACGGCCCGAUGUCGUCGUCGACGGGUCCGACUCGUAGUCGAGUUUCUCUGCCUUUUGCUUGAUUUCCUCUAUCCUCUCUGAAGAGCUGAACCGCUUGGAAGCCACGGAACAUUGCGGACCCCUUCCAGAAAUCGGCGGUAAACAAACACAACCAAACUUUCCCCAAAACCACGAAGUUGGCAUCUUUACAGAGUACCCGUAUCCGGUCCGGCUCCGCGAGGAGACCGAGUUUCUUUGUUUAUUCUCUGUUCUUUUGUUUUUGGCCGGGACGCUAUGGAUUACGCCCGAAGCUAGCUACUGCCUGGACGCACUGACAGCUCACCUUGGUAAACCCAGACAUAACCCUCUUCAAACAACACAGCCCUAUCGCAUCUUUCCAGCAAGACCCACCCACAGUUUCCUCUCUCACACCGGUCCGGCAACCUCUGCCGAGUUUCUCUGUUUUUGUUUUCUGUUCUGUUUCUUCACACAAUCCGGAACCACCGACACGGAUCUGCCCCCGGAUGGCCCAGAGAACCACACCUUGAACAGACGAGCUCGCGGUAACCUUACGACUAGAUACCUCCAACAAACCCGAGUUUCUCGUAUUUUCCAGCCACAAUUUCUCUCCAAUACGGUCCGGCUCCGUGGAAGCCGAGUUUCUCUGUUUAUUAUUUUGUGUCUCUUCCAUUUCCCAUCUUUCUACUGUCUAACCCCCGAACGCCGGAAGCGCGUGGCUCGGAACAUGACUGGUGGUGAAGGACACACACGCAAGCACUCACACUGAGAGCGAGAGCGAGAGAGAACUAGAACCCCAAGAUGAGUUCCCCCCUACCGCAGGCGGACCCUUGGCACGCAACACAAAGCAGGCGAUCUUUUUUUCUCCACUUUCCGGUCCGGCUCCACAUAACCAGCCGAGUUUCUUUGUUUUUCUUUGUUUUUGUUUUCUUUUGACACCUACCCCUUCUCUAUGAAUCACCAACGACAACGAAGUGGAACAAGACCUGACAGCUGGGCAAAACAACACAAAGCAAGCGGUAAAUCGUACUUUGCAAACAUACACAAAACGAGAAGGAUUUUCUAUUACAGUUGAGAGCGUGCAAUUUACGGGACAAAUGUUUAGAAGAAACGCGGAGAACUUCAAGUCCGACGAGAGCAAAAGGGGCAUCGAACCGAAUCAGAUCAGUAAGCGAAUACGGUAUCAGAAACAAACAAGGAUUUUACUGUUUUUCAGAGGAAACUUAGAGAACUUCAACCCUUAUUGAGCGAACGCAAGGGACAUCCGAAUAGCUAGAGCUAUCGAUUUAAAAUCUGAGAGUAAGAUAAUACGAUAUCAGAAACAAACAUGGAUUUUACUGUUUUUCAGAGGAAACUUAGAGAACUUCAACCCCUCUUGAGCGAACCGCAAAGGGGCAUCUGAAUAGCUAGAGCUAUCGAAUUAAAAUCUGAAAGUAAGAUAUUAAGAUGUCAGAAACAAACAAGAAUUUUACUGUUUUUCAGAGGAAUCUUAGAGAACUUCAACCCUUCUUGAGCGAACCGCAAAGGGGCAUCUGAAUAGCUAGAGCUAUCAAAUUGAAAUCUGAGAGUAAGAUAUUAAGAUAUCAGAAACAAACAAGGAUUUUACUGUUUUUCAGAGGAAACUUAGAGAACUUCAACCCUUCUUGAGCGAACAUCGCAAGGGGCAUCUGAAUAGCUAGAGCUAUCAAAUUGAAAUCUGAGAGUAAGAUAUUACGAUAUCAAAAACAAACCAUGAUUUUACUGUUUUUUAGAGGAAAAUUAACCCAUUUCAUUGGAGCACGAAAUUUCACGAAAAUUGAAGAAAUUGUUAUGUCAAAAAUCGUACCAAGAAAACAAAACAAAAAUUAUUUUCACAGUCUACAAGUUAUCGGAAGCCUAUGUAAAGUUUUAUCAACACAUUUGGAGCACACGAAGCUAAAUUAAUCCGCACGAUCCAAAAGAUCGCAACUGUAAGCUAAACAUACGUUUGGAAACAAUCGGAAUUUUACUUUUUUGCAGAAACCAAAAAAAAAACUAUGUUUGGAAUCACCCAAGUCUUCGACGAUUAGAACCACUACAAGUGCACUUCGAGAGAAUUUAUGUGACACAUAAGCAAAAUUCUACUAAGAUAAUCUCAAAUGAAAUUAUUUGUAAAUUGAAAAGCAAAUUAUAAUGGAUGAAACAAUAUUUUAGACGCAUUAACAGCUCAACGAGCUGCAUCAAAUGUAACAAAUUAUUUAAUAUUUUACAGAUGUUAUUAUAUUAGCAAUGAUUAUUUGAAACUGUGUUCUAACAUAACAAUAUUUAAUUAUUAUGUAAUUAACAAAAAACAUAUAAAAUGUAAGCUCAACGAUGAAGGUUGAGCGUCUGAAUUUGUACGAUGUUAUUUUAAACUAUUAUUCAUAACAAAAGUAGCACCGAUAAAAAGUUAUAGCAAUUUGAGAUCAAACAUGGAGAUCAUCAAAGUUAAAAUAACUACAGAAAAUUAAAAAAAAAACAUCCCAGCAAGAUCCACUCGGAUCAUAUCAGUAAGAUAAUCACCAUUUUCGAAACAACCAGAAUUUUACUUCUUUUCAGAAAACCAAAAUAUCUAGAACCAAGCAAGUCAACGCAAAUUUUAAAUUAAUUGCUGAAAACAUAAUACUUGAUAUUGUUAUUAAACAACGAGCGAAAAGCUACAACUGACAAAAAAUAUUACAAAAAAUAUGUAUUGAAUAUUUUAUGCAAUGUUUAAUAAUUGAAUUAUAAAUAACAUGAUUGAUAUGUAAUUUACAAAAAAGAACCAUUGUGAGCUCAACAAUAGAGCUUGAGCGUUUAUAAAACAAAUAUUUCUAUAUUUAAAGAAUGAGCCUUGUAACACAUUUUGUGGUAACAAAACAACAAAAUUUGUACAAUUUACAGCACUUUGAAAAAAUAUCCUAGCAAGAAUUGUUAUGAUGCAGACAAAAAAUACUGAAACAUCAGAGAUGAAAAUUAUACUAUAUAAUAAUUAUUAUAUCUGAAACAAGUUUAACAAAUUAACGACACGGCGGAGAGCACCUCAUCGACCUGAAGCUAAUGGCAGGAGGGCCCUCAACCUUACGUCAACGAGAUAUUCGAACCAGUAAGCCAAAAUACGUUUUUCGAAACAACCAGAAUUUUACUAUUUACAGAAGGCGGGAACGCAAUUCGUCCAAACCAAACGAGAUCAAGCUAAAGUCUUCAAGUUAUCCCGUUCAAAACUGCAGUAAGCGCGAACACAUUUUGCCCAUAGACAACGAGAUCUUUUAUUUUCACAGUUCAAGAAUGUUACUUGUCGUCCGCCCGAAACGCUUAAGGGGACGCGACGCGCACAGUGUUGCCAAGUCGACCGGAAAGUUUCUGACAGCUCCAACCGCACCCAAAAAAUUUGGUAAAUCAGUGUUGCUAUCUUUCCCCGACAACCAGAGCUUUUAUUUUUUUUCAGAAGAAAAACACAGAGUGAAAAUGAUUUUAAAAAAAUGCAAAGCAGCUUUCAAAUUUGAGGUUAUGUGCGACACUUUUUCUUGCGUGUUACGCGCGCUUUAGGCACUUUCUGCGGUUCCCGGACGUCAUCUAUCUCCAACCCCCCUUCCUCCGAAUGUGGUGGCAUCCCAUCUUCCCCGUAUAUUGGUGUGCGUGCGUGUGUUUGUGCGCGUUCGUGUGCAUAUUUGUGUGCUGGAAAAAAGAAAAAAAAAUGGCGUUGACGCAGAUUCCGCCGGAAGAGAAGUUUUACACGAGCAUGCCGUGGUGGUAGCUAUGCUAAUAAUCUUUACCGAAUUCUUUGUUUUUGUUUAUUUACUAUUGUUUACCUUUUUUUAUAACUCUAAGUCUAAUACUCAGUAGUGCGUUUCAUAUGUAUUUGUUUACUUUUUACGGUAGUUUUUGUUCGAUCCCCCGUCAGCUGCUUUUGCGUCGGGGUUUUGUUACCAUUAAUCUACUUGUCUUUCUAUUCACAGAAUAGUUCCUAAUACAUACACACAUACAUUUAUAUAUAAUCUAGUUUUGUGCUGCGGCUAAGUUACUGGUUUAUUUACUAAGAAUUUCAUGGCUGUGAAUUUUUGCAUUAAAGGAAAACCAAAAAUACACUCAACAAAAAAAAUGCUUCCACUAAGCAGUGCAUUCGGGCUUCUAUGUAACAUAUUUUUUAUACAUUUUACCUUUUACUCCAUUUAUACCAGUGUACUAUCUCUUUGUUAACCUGUAUCUAUUUGAUAGUUUUUGAGCUUUGUGUUUAAGCACCCCUUUCCCCCUCUUUGCAAGAAAAAUGAGGAAAUGUGUACUAGUGAUUAAAGCAAUUUCUGUGUAAAAUUAGCCUUUUAAGCGUUACUUAUACGGUAGUUAUUGCAUAACUAACACGAAGAUAAAUGUGCUUUGGAGCCAAGUGGAUGAAAAAUGAAAACCCAUUGUGACCCAAGAAGAGCUUCGCCUUAACAAAAUAAGAAAAACAAGCGAAAAAAUGACGUUCGGUUCUCCGCGGAGAACCCUACGGUAAACAAACGAGCAAAUCUCGCUCGGUGCUGGCGAUUAGGGCACCCUGCUGGUAAUUGGGAUUUGCUCCGCGCGGAACGGCCUGCUCGGUGCUCCAGUGGACACCAGCGGAAAGGGCACGUUACCGGCUGUUGAGACACAAAAUCUAACCUAAUCUAAUCUGUCAAGUGAUGAAUUGAAUGGAUUUCAGUUGUUUAUUUAUACCAGUGUGUGCUAGUGACGACAUCUAGGAUGUUGACGUUUUGUUCUUUACUUAAAGUUGUGAUUUCCUUUCGUGUCAUGCUUUGAUCUACUAGAAGAAAGUGUUUGAUUUUGUCUGGAAAAUUAUGUGAUUUGCCCAUUGUUGACCGAUAUUGUUUUAUACGCUAUUUAUGUAUAUUCCACAAGAUAUAUCUUGGAAAUGUUCCAACUUCGAAUUGUACAGUGAUAUGAAAUCAUGUUGUUACACACCUAGCUAUUGUACUUCUUAACAAAUGGUAUGCAUUUCAUUACUGAUCGCAAUAAUGUAUUUUCUAUCGAGCUUGAAUUGGUAACCAAAGUAUAACCUCAAAGUAUUGUAAUGCCACUGUGCACCGUUUCUUUCCACGGAGUGUGGUUUGUUAACCUUACCGAAUUACUGAAUAACGCAACAAGUUUGAAGCAGCUGCGCGAGCAUGAGUACGUAUUGAGCGCUGCCAAGUAGAACGCACCCCUUCCACCCGUGUUGACCUCCGGCCGCGUCGAGCCGUUCCGCGUGCCGUCGAGAGAACGUGUCCCCGAAACCCUCACCCUCCGCACACACAUACACAGGAGACAUCCGCACAACCAAACCACACCAUCGCUUCUUGUUCUUCUGGUCUGGCGCAGAACUGCCUGCAAAGCUCUCUUCUACUACCAACGCUACGCGCUACCAACCCAGGGUCAUCUGUCCACCAUCACAUCCACACCGCCACCACUACACAUCUGUGUUGUUUCUGCACGUGCGACCUUCCAACCGGUCGGGGACCAGGUCACCCGCAAGAACCGCUAGAAGAAGCCUAAUGCGUCGCCUAGAAUCGCCCUUCGAGAACUCCGGACUCCGGUAAAGCAACUUUUGCCUCCCUCGCCCCCCCUCGUUUGCACAUAACCACGUGUCCCCUCCCCCCUCGAGAAAUGGGGGACACGUGCCCUUUCUUUUACUUUCAGAUCACUCUCACUGUUUACCUUGCGCACCCCGCUUUGUUUACCUCCGGGUGGUUGUGGCGCGUGUCCCAUUUGGUUGAGUGUGUUCCUCCCCCCUGGGUUUUUGACGGCGUUCUGGUUCCUUCGAGCUUCCGAUCCAGAGUGUCCGCUGCUGCUGCUGCUUUGAGAGCGAGCGAGCGAGCUUCGUCCGAUUCGGCCGGCCUCUUCCGGCUUCGUUGGCGAGAUCUUGCUGGGGAAGGAGGCGUUUGCUGGCGUGACGUCCGUCAUCGCGGAUUCGGCUUGAGAACGAGUACGAGAUGAUGGCGACGCUGCUGCUGCUGCUUCCCCGGGAACCUUUGGCUUGGGACACUACUCGAGGACCGACCCCCCCGUGUUGGUGGAGCGUUUGAGGUUGCAGAAUUAGUGAAGUGAAUGAAUGGCUAGAGUGAGGAGUUCGUUGUUCGGCAGUGGGAAGCAGAUUCGACCAGUCAGUCAGCGUAGAGAGCUUAAAGUUUGAGAGAUUCAUCGAAGGAGGCAGUUUGAUUUCGGCAGAACGUCAACGUCGUCAAUGUUGCCUUCUGGAGCAUUUUAAAACGUCCCGACGGUCACGUUCAACGACCACAACGGGCGCAUCGUAACAAUCAACAAAAGUUUUACCAAUCAAUCCAAGUUACCACAACAACAACUGACAAGUCUUUAGACAAACAACAACACAACAAGAUACGCCAGUUGAUGGGCGCUAUCCACGCCAAAAGGAUGCACCCGCAAUCAACGCAAAAGUUAUCUCAGCAGAAAGAAGCCAAAAGUUAGACAGAAAUCAUCACGCGAAGGGCCAGUUGAGCCGCGCAACAUCAGUGAACACCAAAAGUUCUGAAAUCAACAACCCAUCAACAAAGUGAAUUUAAACACCCUGCCAGGCAAGUGCGCCCGCGGCAGCGGUCAAAAAGUCAAAUUUGGACCCCACACAAAGUGUCAAAUCAAAGCAACCCAAAGUGCAACGGACACGAGUCAACGCAAUGUUGACGUUUCAAAAGUUACAAGAAAGUUGGUGACUGCGUCACCAGGGAAGCCCACCACGAAGUUUUGCUGAUUUAUUUGCAACGAAAAGAAAUGCAAGUGCCGCAACACAAUGGCGAUGGACUUGAAGUUAUUUUUGUUUGUGAAGAGUUUGAAAGUGGGAGCUGUCAUCUUGAAAGCAGCAGCAGUUUCGGAAAGCAUUUCCUCAUGCUGUACCGCGUGAAAAUGUUGUCAGAUUUGUUAAAAAUAAAGCAUCCUGCCGUCGAGUUUGGAGGCGGCGUAGGAUCGGCUAACGAAGUUCCUGAUAAGUUAAAGUACAAGUGAAGUUAAAUGUAAAAUGAUACAAAAUCAUCAACCGCCCGUUUGUUCUUCGCGUCUAUGAAGUCAAAUGGAUAGAGUAGGCGAAUGCCAGCAAAAUGUCGUAAUGAUGAAAUAUUUGGACAGUUACAUAAAAGUGAAAAUGAAAAAUGUUUGAAGUUGAAAUCCAUUCGCAAAAUCUGGAAGCGAAUUCGGAUAGGCUUAAGAAGAUCCUGAUAAGUUAAAAUACAAGUGAUUUCAUCACUCAAGUGGUCCGGCUUGAUACAACAUCCCGGAUAUGCAGUGAAAUUAAAGUGCUUGAAUGCAGCGUCUAUUUGUUCUUCAAGUCUAUUAAGCCAAAUGGUUAGCUAGAAGUUAUGAAUGCAGAAAAA